AUGAACGCUGGCGGCGUGCCUAAUACAUGCCAGUCGAGCGAACGGACGAGAAGCUUGCUUCUCUGAUGUUAGCGGCGGACGGGUGAGUAACACGUGGAUAACCUACCUAUAAGACUGGGAUAACUUCGGGAAACCGGAGCUAAUACCGGAUAAUAUUUUGAACCGCAUGGUUCAAAAGUGAAAGACGGUCUUGCUGUCACUUAUAGAUGGAUCCGCGCUGCAUUAGCUAGUUGGUAAGGUAACGGCUUACCAAGGCAACGAUGCAUAGCCGACCUGAGAGGGUGAUCGGCCACACUGGAACUGAGACACGGUCCAGACUCCUACGGGAGGCAGCAGUAGGGAAUCUUCCGCAAUGGGCGAAAGCCUGACGGAGCAGCGCCGCGUGAGUGAUGAAGGUCUUCGGAUCGUAAAACUCUGUUAUUAGGGAAGAACAUAUGUGUAAGUAACUGUGCACAUCUUGACGGUACCUAAUCAGAAAGCCACGGCUAACUACGUG
rnacentral:rRNA from 1 species